rnacentral:rRNA from 1 species
GAUGAACGCUGGCGGCGGGCCUAACACAUGCAAGUCGAGCGGAAAAGGCCUGCUUUUUCGGGGUUCCCGCGGGGGGCGCGGGUGUGAUACACAGGAGUAUCCCUGCCCUUGGGGUAGGAUGUCUUUAGGCAACUGCGGCUAAUACACGCUUGGAGCGCCUGAAGCAUGGGGGGGGUUGGAAAACUUCGGCUGUGGGGGGUCGACGUGCGGCUUAUUAGCUUGUUGGGGGGGUAGGGGCUUACCAAGGGUUUGACGGGUGGCCGGCCUGAGAGGGUGACCGGCCACAUUGGGCCUGAGAUACGGCCCAGACUCCUACGGGAGGCAGCAGUGGGGAAUAUUGCACAAUGGGCGGAAGCCUGAUGCAGCAACGCUGCGUGCGGGAUGACGGCCUUCGGGUUGUAAACCGCUUUCGCCUGUGACGAAGCGUGAGUGACGGUAAUGGGUAAAGAAGCACCGGCUAACUACGUG